rnacentral:rRNA from 1 species
UCAUGGCUCAGGAUGAACGCUGGCGGCGUGCUUAACACAUGCAAGUCGAACGAACCUUCGGGUUAGUGGCGGACGGGUGAGUAACGCGUGAGAAUCUGCCCUCAGGAGGGGGAUAACGGUUGGAAACGACCGCUAAUACCCCAUAUGCCUACUGGUGAAAUGAAUUUCGCCUGAGGAUGAGCUCGCGUCUGAUUAGCUAGUUGGUGAGGUAAUGGCUCACCAAGGCUUCGAUCAGUAGCUGGUCUGAGAGGAUGAUCAGCCACACUGGGACUGAGACACGGCCCAGACUCCUACGGGAGGCAGCAGUGGGGAAUUUUCCGCAAUGGGCGAAAGCCUGACGGAGCAACGCCGCGUGAGGGACGAAGGCCUCUGGGCUGUAAACCUCUUUUCUCAAGGAAGAAGAUAUGACGGUACUUGAGGAAUAAGCCACGGCUAAUUCCGUGCCAGCAGCCGCGGUAAUACGGGAGUGGCAAGCGUUAUCCGGAAUUAUUGGGCGUAAAGCGUCCGCAGGCGGCUUUUCAAGUCUGCUGUUAAAGAGUGGAGCUUAACUCCAUCAUGGCAGUGGAAACUGAAAGGCUUGAGUAUGGUAGGGGCAGAGGGAAUUCCCGGUGUAGCGGUGAAAUGCGUAGAUAUCGGGAAGAACACCAGUGGCGAAGGCGCUCUGCUGGGCCAUUACUGACGCUCAUGGACGAAAGCCAGGGGAGCGAAAGGGAUUAGAUACCCCUGUAGUCCUGGCCGUAAACGAUGAACACUAGGUGUCGGGGGAAUCGACCCCUUCGGUGUCGUAGCUAACGCGUUAAGUGUUCCGCCUGGGGAGUACGCACGCAAGUGUGAAACUCAAAGGAAUUGACGGGGGCCCGCACAAGCGGUGGAGUAUGUGGUUUAAUUCGAUGCAACGCGAAGAACCUUACCAGGGUUUGACAUCCUGCGAACCUCUUAGAAAUUUGAGGGUGCCUUCGGGAAUGCAGUGACAGGUGGUGCAUGGCUGUCGUCAGCUCGUGUCGUGAGAUGUUGGGUUAAGUCCCGCAACGAGCGCAACCCACGUUUUUAGUUGCCAGCAUUUAGUUGGGCACUCUAGAAAGACCGCCGGUGAUAAACCGGAGGAAGGUGUGGAUGACGUCAAGUCAUCAUGCCCCUUACACCCUGGGCUACACACGUACUACAAUGCUACGGACAAAGGGCAGCAAACUCGCGAGAGCUAGCAAAUCCCAUAAACCGUGGCUCAGUUCAGAUCGUAGGCUGCAACUCGCCUACGUGAAGUAGGAAUCGCUAGUAAUCGCAGGUCAGCAUACUGCGGUGAAUACGUUCCCGGGCCUUGUACACACCGCCCGUCACACCAUGGAAGUUGGCCAUGCCCGAAGUCGUUACUCCAACCCUUGUGGAGGAGGACGCCGAAGGUGGGGCUAAUGACUGGGGUGAAGUCAUAACAAGGUAGCCGUA